rnacentral:tRNA from 1 species
GGGCCGUUAGCUCAGCUGGCUAGAGCGUCUGGCUGGCAGUCAGAAGGUCGUGGGUUCAAACCCCACACGGUCCA